UCUUCCUUAGGUUAAUUCAAGAAGUCCUACAAAUGAUAUUCAAAGAAAACACGAGUGGAAAUCUAACUUCUCUUCACUAAGUAUGAAAGCUUGUUCAUAAAAAUAUGAAUUGGCACACAAUUUAAGUUUUAAAGAUCAAGUCAAUUAGGACUCAUUAGUGAAUAUCAAAAUAGAUUUUCUAAAAGAUACUCAAGAAAAUUUUACACGUUAUUCUCCCCCUUUUUCAUUAAGUUAGAGGCUCUUUAAGCUCAACUUGCAAUUUGGUUCAUGAUUUAUGC
rnacentral:lncRNA from 1 species